rnacentral:misc_RNA from 1 species
GUUUGAUUCACUACCCCUCAUCAAUGAGAAGCUUUAGCAGUGCUGGUGACACUGAUUUUAUUGACCCUGCCAUAUUAAGCUCUGGUAAAGGCAAAACAACAAAUGGUUUAUGUAUCUCAGGUCUGGAAAUUGGGUCACAGGGUAGAGCUUUGGAGGCUGAGGCAAGACUCUGGCUUCUGAUGCAACGAAAACAUGCUGAUCAAGAUGGGAAGUCGUCUCAUGUUCAUGCUUCACAAACUCCAUCUGCAUAUCAGGACCAGAGGUUUAAUGGUGAAGAUGAGCAUACUGGCACGAAGAAGUUUGGACCAAGGCUGGUGGAUCAAGGCCAAAACUUU